UACGUAGGGGGCAAGCGUUGUCCGGAAUCAUUGGGCGUAAAGCGCGUGUAGGCGGCCAGGUAGGUCCGCUGUGAAAACUCGAGGCUCAACCUCGAGAUGUCGGCGGAAACCAUCUGGCUAGAGUCCGGAAGAGGAGAGUGGAAUUCCUGGUGUAGCGGUGAAAUGCGCAGAUAUCAGGAAGAACACCCGUGGCGAAGGCGGCUCUCUGGGACGGUACUGACGCUGAGACGCGAAAGCGUGGGGAGCGAACAGG
rnacentral:rRNA from 1 species